AUUGAACGCUGGCGGCAGGCCUAACACAUGCAAGUCGAGCGAGUGGCGGACGGGUGAGUAAUGUAUGGGGAACUGCCCGAUAGAGGGGGAUAACUACUGGAAACGGUGGCUAAUACCGCAUACUAUCGUAUGAACCCAUAUGGGAUUAGCUUGUUGGUGGGGUAAAGGCUCACCAAGGCGACGAUCGCGAGCUGGUCUGAGAGGAUGAUCAGCCAAACGGGGACGGAGACACGGCCCAGACUCCUACGGGAGGAAGCAGUGGGGAAUAUUGCACAAUGGGCGCAAGCCUGAGGCAGCCAGGCCGCGGGUAUGAAGAAGGCCUUAGGGUUGUAAAGUACUUUCAGCGGGGAGGCGUUACCCGCAGAAGAAGCACCGGCUAACUCCGUGCCAGCAGCCGCGGUAAUAC
rnacentral:rRNA from 1 species